rnacentral:sRNA from 1 species
CAAAUGGUGUUAAAAGAAUUGGUGAGAAGACUGAAGCUUCAUUAGUAUGGUUUACUCCUGCAAGAACUUCAAACCAGUGGCUUGAUUUCUGGUUACGUCAUCGACUCCAGUGGUGGAGAAAGUUUGCCAUGAGUCCAUCUAACUUCAGCAGCAGUGACUGUCAGGAUGAAGAAGGCCGGAAAGGAAACAAACUUUACUACAAUUUUCCCUGGGGAAAGGAGCUAAUAGAAACCCUGUGGAACUUAGGAGAUCAUGAACUUUUACACAUGUAUCCUGGCAAUGUGUCUAAAUUACAUUCAAAGGUGGUUAUUUAAGUAUUUUUAAAAAUUACAUGAAUAUCCAGGUGAACAAUGAUUUACAAAAAAAGAAAGAUGAA